rnacentral:rRNA from 1 species
CUUGACACAGGGAGGCAGUGACAAAUAAAUAACAAUUCCGGGCGCUAGUCGUCUGGUAUUUGGAAUGAGAACAAUUUAAAUCCCUUAACGAGGAUCAAUUGGAGGGCAAGUCUGGUGCCCAGCAGCCGCGGUAAUUCCAGCUCCCAAUAGCGUAUAUUAAAGUUGUUGCAGUUAAAAAGCUCGUAGUUGGAUUUCUGGAUGGUAGGCUCGGUCGCUCCUUCCGGAGUGUACUAGUAGCUUUUACCGUCCAUCUUUGUGGGAAUGGCUUCUGCUAUUAGGUUAGUGGGGGUUGGACCCGCAUCGUUUACUGUGAAAAAAUUAGAGUGUUUAAAGCAGGCAAUCGCCUUGAAUACAUUAGCAUGGAAUAAUAAGAUAGGACUGUAGUACUAUUUUGUUGGUUUGCGUACUUCGGUAAUGAUUAAUAGGGAUAGUUGGGGGUAUUCAUAUUCAAUUGUCAGAGGUGAAAUUCUUAGAUUUAUGGAAGAUGAACAUCUGCGAAAGCAUUUACCAAGGAUGUUUUCAUUAAUCAAGAACGAAAGUUAGGGGAUCGAAGAUGAUUAGAUACCAUCGUAGUCUUAACCAUAAACUAUGCCGACUCGGGAUUGGUCAGCGUUGAUUUAAUGACCUGAUCAGCAUCGUAUGAGAAAUCAAAGUCUUUGGGUUCCGGGGGGAGUAUGGUCGCAAGGCUGAAACUUAAAGGAAUUGACGGAAGGGCACCACCAGGAGUGGAGCCUGCGGCUUAAUUUGA